UUUCCGUAGGUGAACCUGCGGAAGGAUCAUUCACAAUAAAGUGUUUUAUGGCACCUUUUAAAAAUCCAUAUCCACCUUGUGUGCAAUGUUAGAUCUCGUCAAUCUUGGCGAGAUUUUUAUACAUCAACUCAUUCUUUAACUAAUUUGUCUGAAAAAUAUUAUGAAUACUUAAUUCAAAAUACAACUUUCAACAACGGAUCUCUUGGCUCUC
rnacentral:misc_RNA from 1 species